rnacentral:rRNA from 1 species
GAUGAACGCUGGCGGCGUGCCUAAUACAUGCAAGUCGAGCGAAUGGAUUAAGAGCUUGCUCUUAUGAAGUUAGCGGCGGACGGGUGAGUAACACGUGGGUAACCUGCCCAUAAGACUGGGAUAACUCCUGGAAACCCGGGCUAAUACCGGAUAACAUCUUGAACCGCCUGGUUCGAAAUUGAAAGGCGGCUUCGGCUGUCACUUAUGGAUGGACUCGCGUCGCAUUAGCUAGUUGGUGAGGUAACGGCUCACCAAGGCAACGAUGCGUAGCCGACCUGAGAGGGUGAUCGGCCACACUGGGACUGAGACACGGCCCAGACUCCUACGGGAGGCAGCAGUAGGGAAUCUUCCGCAAUGGACGAAAGUCUGACGGAGCAACGCCGCGUGAGUGAUGAAGGCUUUCGGGUCGUAAAACUCUGUUGUUAGGGAAGAACAAGUGCUAGUUGAAUAAGCUGGCACCUUGACGGUACCUAACCAGAAAGCCACGGCUAACUACGUGCCAGCCGCCGCAGUAA